CAUAUACCCCCUUCGUCCUAAAAUUUUUGUUUUACAUUUGUCUAGAUACAGAUGUAUCUAAUAAUAAAAUGUGACUUGAUACAUCCCUAUCUAGGCAAAUCUAAGACAAUAUUUUUUGAAACGAAAAGAGUAUAUU
rfam:Triticum aestivum genome assembly, contig: Triticum_aestivum_CS42_TGACv1_scaffold_569292_7AS